AGUGAACGUUGGCGGUAGGCCUAACACAUGCAAGUCGAACGGCAGCACAGGAGAGCUUGCUCUCUGGGUGGCGAGUGGCGGACGGGUGAGGAAUACAUCGGAAUCUACUUUUUCGUGGGGGAUAACGUAGGGAAACUUACGCUAAUACCGCAUACGACCUACGGGUGAAAGCAGGGGACCUUCGGGCCUUGCGCGAUUGAAUGAGCCGAUGUCGGAUUAGCUAGUUGGCGGGGUAAAGGCCCACCAAGGCGACGAUCCGUAGCUGGUCUGAGAGGAUGAUCAGCAACACUGGAACUGAGACACGGUCCAGACUCCUACGGGAGGCAGCAGUGGGGAAUAUUGGACAAUGGGCGCAAGCCUGAUCCAGCCAUACCGCGUGGGUGAAGAAGGCCUUCGGGUUGUAAAGCCCUUUUGUUGGGAAAGAAAUCCAGCUGGCUAAUACCCGGUUGGGAUGACGGUAUCCAAAGAAUAAGCACCGGCUAACUUCGUGCCAGCAGCCGCAGUAA
rnacentral:rRNA from 1 species